UAUCCGAGUGUAGCAUCAAGGCCUACCUGAACAGGUUACACAUGCUGUCCUUGUCACCUGCUUGUCCUCCUAAGGAGACUUUUUGCGGCCUCUCUUUGUUGACUUUUCACUAGUGCACCCGGAAGAUAAUUCGCUUACUGUCCUGACCCAGCUGAGGACUCGAGUACAUCUCCAGAAAGCAAGAAGGUAAGCAUUAAGGCUGUUUGGCUUUCCAACGAACGGACUUUUCCUUUUUCUCCUAGUUUUUUCAGCAUACUGCUCCUGGCAGGAAAACUACCUGUGGAGGAUAUGUGGGGCCAUGAUGACCAUCCUUCUGCCUCUCUGGGGACCCCGGGGGGGGUGUUUCACCCCUCCACUCAUCAUUGAGAAUCUACUACACGUCAAGCUCUGUUCUGGGAUACCUCAGUGAACAAGACAAGGGCCUCGUGGUGCUUCAUUCUAAUGGAAGAAGAAAGAAAAUACUAGCAAACCAACAUGGCCAAACACCUGCCCUCAGUGUGGCUUGUCAGAUGGUUAUCACAUCCUGUCAUGUGCCUCCAAUGAUGACCACAAGCUCCAUGAAAUCUGGCCCUGGGUUUAUUCCUUCUGCUCGACCUUCAUUUCCUCCUCUACUCACCGGGCCCCAGCCACACUUGCCAGCCCGUGUCCCGUAAGUUUGCCAAUAUGAUCUUACCCAGGCCCUUGGCACUUGUGAUUGCUACCUAGA